rnacentral:rRNA from 1 species
AACGGAUAUCUCGGCUCUCGCCACGAUGAAGAAUGUAGCGAAAUGCGAUACUUAGUGUGAAUUGCAGAAUCCCGUGAAUCAUCGAGUCUUUGAACGCAAGUUGCGCCCGAGGCCUCGGCCGAGGGCACGCCUGCU